rnacentral:rRNA from 1 species
CGCCUGGGGAGUACGGCCGCAAGGUUAAAACUCAAAUGAAGUGACGGGGGCCCGCACAAGCGGUGGAGCAUGUGGUUUAAUUCGACGCAACGCGAAGAACCUUACCUGGCCUUGACAUGCAGAGAACUUUCCAGAGAUGGAUUGGUGCCUUCGGGAACUCUGACACAGGUGCUGCAUGGCCGUCGUCAGCUCGUGUCGUGAGAUGUUGGGUUAAGUCCCGUAACGAGCGCAACCCCUAUCCCUAGUUGCUAGCAGUUCGGCUGAGAACUCUAGGGAGACUGCCGGUGACAAACCGGAGGAAGGUGGGGAUGACGUCAGGUCAUCAUGGCCCUUACGGCCAGGGCUACACACGUGCUACAAUGGUGCGCACAGAGGGCUGCAAACCCGCGAGGGGGAGCCAAUCUCACAAAACGCAUCGUAGUCCGGAUCGCAGUCUGCAACUCGACUGCGUGAAGUCGGAAUCGCUAGUAAUCGUGAAUCAGAAUGUCACGGUGAAUACGUUCCCGGGCCUUGUACACACCGCCCGUCACACCAUGGGAGUGGAUUGCACCAGAAGUGGUUAGUCUAACCUUCGGGAGGACGAUCACCACGGUGUGGUUCAUGACUGGGGUGAAGUCGUAACAAGGUAACCGUA